GAUGAACGCUGGCGGAGUGCCUAAUACAUGCAAGUCGAGCGGCAGCACGAGUAGUUUACUACUUGGUGGCGAGCGGCGGACGGCUGAGUAACGCGUGGGAACGUGCCCCAAAGUGAGGAAUAACUGCCCGAAAGGGUAGCUAAUGCCGCAUAUGAUCUUCGGAUUAAAGUAUUUAUUACGCUUUGGGAGCGGCCCGCGUCCGAUUAGAUAGUUGGUGAGGUAAAGGCUCACCAAGUCGACGAUCGGUAACUGGUCUGAGAGGAUGAUCAGUCAGACUGGAACUGAGACACGGUCCAGACUCCUACGGGAGGCAGCAGUAAGGAAUCUUCCACAAUGGACGAAAGUCUGAUGGAGCAACUCCGCGUGCAGGAUGAAGGCCCUCGGGUCGUAAACUGCUUUUAUGAGUGAAGAAUAUGACGGUAACUCAUGAAUAAGGGUCGGCUAACUACGUGCCAGCAGCCGCCGUAACAC
rnacentral:rRNA from 1 species